rnacentral:lncRNA from 10 species
CUCUCAGCAGCGUCCAGCACUUGCAGAGCACAGCCUGAAACCCAAGCUCCCAAAAAGGUGUGCGAACAGCCAAAAGGAAAUGGGAGAGGGCCCAGGCACAGCGGCAUGAGCCAGCAGGAGGGUGAGAUGCUUCCUGGCCAGUGUGGGAGACCCCAGCAGCUGCUGUGAGGCCUGGCCUGAAGCCUGCCACGCGCUCCAAGUGCCGAGAGGACCCCACCUGGGCCCUCAAAGCCUCCAUAACAGUGACGCACUCACUGCGCACCACCCGAUGCCACCUGUUCAAAUAACUGCGAUUCACAGCAGGAAUUCUCACUACAGCCAGGAAAAGGAGGGGAAGAUCUGUUCUGACAUGGAAAGAUCUUUAAGAUGUCAAAGCAAAAACACAAGCUAUACCACACAGUGGAUACAGUAAGAUUCUUUCUGUAAGACAAAAGCAAAACUCUGUGUCUGCUUGUCUAAUGAACCAAUUAGCUAACCAACCCAGCAACCAAGAAUGAAGACAGACAAUGAGAUGACAGACAGGGUGAAGGUCCUCCCUUCCCAGAGCCGUUUGCUUCCAGACCCAGGUGGG